AAUAAAUGCUAGCACUGAUAAUUAGCGAAUAUAAUAGCAGUUUGAUUUUUUAUUCAUCUAUUGGCAUAGAUUGCUGGACCACAGAUAGCCACAUUCUUGUCAAUUGAUCUUAUACUUUUGUAGUACCACAUUAUACUUGUAUUGCGAUAUUGCUUACAAUUGAAAUUUUGAAGUAUAGUUGCUUAAGUUAACCAAAUAGUAAAUAUGCAUUGGUACUAAAUAUGCACAUAAAUACUCAGUGGCAGCUCCAACUACAAUUGGAAUUUUUUUCUCACCGAAUCACUGAUUUUUAAAAUGACGAUCCACAUGGCAGGUCCAAAAGAUACUCAUCAAGCUCGGAAAUUAGAAGUCUCCAGGAGAAACCCUUGGAUUUAGGUGUGAAACUGAAUAAUCACAAGGUCAGGACAUACUGGGUCUUGCGCCCAAAUGUUACAAUCCUCGUGCCAACAAAGCAAUAAAGGAAAACAAAAAGUGGUCGAUGACAAUAAUAAGUCCCACAGAACUGGGCCCAAUGGCAUGCCACUG